AUUGAACGCUGGCGGCGUGCCUUACACAUGCAAGUCGAACGGCAGCACGGGGCAACCUGGUGGCGAGUGGCGAACGGGUGAGUAAUGCAUCGGAACGUACCUUUCAGUGGGGGAUAACAUAGCGAAAGUUACGCUAAUACCGCAUAUUCUGUGAGCAGGAAAGCAGGGGAUCGCAAGACCUUGCGCUGAUUGAGCGGCCGAUGUCAGAUUAGCUAGUUGGUGAGGUAAAGGCUCACCAAGGCGACGGUCUGUAGCGGGUCUGAGAGGAUGAUCCGCCACACUGGAACUGAGACACGGUCCAGACUCCUACGGGAGGCAGCAGUGGGGAAUUUUGGACAAUGGGGGCAACCCUGAUCCAGCCAUGCCGCGUGAGUGAAGAAGGCCUUCGGGUUGUAAAGCUCUUUCGGCCGGGAAGAAAUCGCACGGGCUAAUACCCUGUGUGGAUGACGGUACCGGAAUAAGAAGCACCGGCUAACUACGUGCCAGCCGCCGCCGUAAGAC
rnacentral:rRNA from 1 species